rnacentral:rRNA from 1 species
CAGCAGCCGCGGGAAUACAGAGGGUGCGAGCGUUAAUCGGAUUUACUGGGCGUAAAGCGUGCGUAGGCGGCUUCUUAAGUCGGAUGUGAAAUCCCUGAGCUUAACUUAGGAAUUGCAUUCGAUACUGGGAAGCUAGAGUAUGGGAGAGGAUGGUAGAAUUCCAGGUGUAGCGGUGAAAUGCGUAGAGAUCUGGAGGAAUACCGAUGGCGAAGGCAGCCAUCUGGCCUAAUACUGACGCUGAGGUACGAAAGCAUGGGGAGCAAACAGGAUUAGAUACCCCUGUAGUCCAUGUCUCUUAUAA